rnacentral:lncRNA from 1 species
AAAAAAAUAAUAAUAAUUCUUUGUUUUAUUUUAAUUUCCCUUUAUGAAAUGGUUUUAUUUUCUAGCUGCUGUUACAGUCAUGAGGACUGAAAAAUUUUGAAUUCCUGUAAUAUGAAAGCUCAAAUUCCCAUCUAAUCACUUGUUUCCCAGAGCCAGACCAACUUUCGGGAGACGAUCAAAGAACUGCUGGAGAGGGACCUGAGUGCCAGACACAGAGGACAAUGCCUGGGUCUAUAUUGCUCUAUCUGAUAAUAACCAGAUUAUAGCUCCACAAUCCCAACAAAGAGACACAAGCAGUAUGAAGAAAGAGGAAGAUUCUUUCUCUGCUGAAGGACUGAAUGCACAAUCAUCUGCAAGCUUUGUAUAGCUGCCUUCCCUAAUCCCAGAGUCAAGCUAGCCUUCUGUUGGAUAGGAACACAUACACUUGAAGGAGUCCAACCCAAAGAGAAAUACCCAAAAGGAUGAACAGGAAUCCACUUUUUCUGAUGUCUCUGUCUGUCAGCAAACUGCAGAAGCACACAGUUUUCCAUCCUCACGGACGAAGAGCAGAAGCUCUCCCACAGCAUCUGGCAUGCUUAGGCAGGUGAGGAGAUAAAGGUGGAUGUGCGCAUGGUUUUAAAUUUCACUCAAAGUGAAUUCCAUUGGCGUUCUCAACCUUCAUCUGAAGAGGCAAUGCCUGGGCUCUUAACGUCUUGGACUCUGUAGAGACAACUCAGCAUCGUGAUUCUACACUCUUGUGCACGUUUUAUAGUCUUAUUAGACUGGACUCAUUAAAUGGCUCCUUGUGAUAGUAACUGAGGAGGACUGUGCUAUUUUUCAUCUUUUUACUACUCCCUUGUGAUUAAUUUAAUAAAGAUCCUACCUGUCGCA